rnacentral:rRNA from 1 species
AUUGAACGCUGGCGGCAUGCUUUACACAUGCAAGUCGAACGGCAGCACGGGGGCAACCCUGGUGGCGAGUGGCGAACGGGUGAGUAAUAUAUCGGAACGUACCCGGAAAUGGGGGAUAACGUAGCGAAAGUUACGCUAAUACCGCAUAUGCCCUAAGGGGGAAAGCGGGGGAUUCGCAAGAACCUCGCGUUUUCGGAGCGGCCGAUAUCGGAUUAGCUAGUAGGUGAGGUAAAGGCUCACCUAGGCGACGAUCCGUAGCUGGUCUGAGAGGACGACCAGCCACACUGGAACUGAGACACGGUCCAGACUCCUACGGGAGGCAGCAGUAGGGAAUAUUGGGCAAUGGGCGGAAGCCUGACCCAGCCAUGCCGCGUGAAGGAAGACGGCCUUAUGGGUUGUAAACUUCUUUACUAUGCGACUAACUAGAUUUACGAGAUAAUUCUAUAGAAUGUAGCAUAGCAAAAGCAACCGGCUAACUCCGUG